AACUUUGCGCAGUGGCAGUAUCGUAGCCAAUGAGGUUUAUCCGAGGCGCGAUUAUUGCUAAUUGAAAAUAUCAAUCCUACCCCAAAUUAAUCUUAAAAGUUCAAUGCAAUUACAAUCAAACUACCAGAGAUACCUCACAGAAAUAGA